ensembl:lncRNA
CCUUCACUGGAAAACUAGUGGCAUUUGUGGAUAACCCAGAGAGGUCUGCCAAGUACUUCUACUUUUUACACUUUGCCAAUUAAGAAAAUUAAGGUAAUACCAAUCAAUCAAUACAACGUCUAAUAUUGGUGUGAAUGGAGAAUGAAUGGGAACGCUUGGGUGUGCAGCAGGUUAUGGACUGCAACACAAGGAGAGGGGCUCUCAGAAUGUCAGUGUUAAUGGCAUCCACAUUUGGAGUUCAUCAGGAUCCCAUCAGUUCCACCUGCAGUUUCAUGACAUGCUUGGAAAAUGCAGCUUGUUGAAAGGAGAUCAGCGCUCCACGGCCCUGGGUCGAUACAUUUCACAAUUGUUUCUUUUUUACUUUCUCCAUCUGAUGAGAUAGUUUUGGGAGCUGUUCCAAAAACAAGGCUUUGCUGGGGUUCAGUAAGAACCGCUCUGUGUUUCACAGUGUGGUUUUGUUCCCUUGUAAAAACUGAAAAAAAAAACCCCACACAAUAAGAGCCCAAAAUCAUGCGGCACACAGUGUGAUUUUCUGUGCUCCCUCUGGGAAGAUCUUCACAUGGAUUUGCUGUGGCAACCAGCUAAUAGUAAGCAGCCCACGCUGCGACUGCUUCUGCAAACUGUUGAUGCUGCUCGCAACAAUAGAUCCAUUUGCUCACUUGUAAAAGGAACAGCACUCCACAGCUUAAAACUAGGAGAAGCUUCAAGCAGUGCAGGGUGAUGAGUCUUCCCCAGGAAAGGAAGAUAUCAACAGUGAAUCCAUAGUAGAAGAUUGCUUUUUGAAAAAGCAUCGUAUUAAAAAGUCUUGUUUCAACACUGACCUUUAAGGGUAAUUUAUGACCCUUGCAAAUACCUGGAAGGAAAAUUUAGGUGAGACUUAGGCAGGUGUUUUUUUUUUUUUUUUUUUCAUUCAUACAGGCUAAGAUGAGACCCCGCUUUCUGCUCAGCCAUCCAGAAAUACAGGCAAUCCUCCUGGGUCCCUUCCACCAGGAAUGGGUGAGCUCACAUGCAGCUGACGAGAGCCAGGUGUCCAUCGGAGGCAAAUGUAUGCAGAGUUUGGUCAACACUGCUCAGAGGAAAAGCGUGAACAAUCAACCCUGGAGCAUCUUUUGCAUUUACUGUAGUAGAUUUAAUCCACUCCAUUGAUCACAUCAUUUCCAGCCAGCAGCGUGAGCCUAAAAACCAGUCUAACCUUUACUCAGUAUCACCACGGGUAGUGAUCUCGAAUGCCUCUUGUGUGAGAUAAUGAAAGGUUGUGGAAAGGCAGUUGGAGGGAGGUCGUGCACUAAAACACAGGUAAUACAGGUUGAAAGCUGGCUGCAAAUAGCCCCGAGGCAGCAGCUUGGAUGUACUAUUCUCCAUCUAAUGCAUUUGUAAUUGCCACUUAAAGAGGAACCGUGCUGGUUUUCUUUCUGGUGAAUCUCAUCAUGUUUUCUGAGUCAGUUACCCAUCUAACAUCAGCGCUGAUAAAAGCAAAAAGAAGAAAUGAUUGCUGUUGGAGUUCUUUUGGAGGCCUACUUCAGCUGUGAUGAAGUGAUACACAAACUUUUUUUUUGGACUAGCAAAAUUUCUUGCACCUUCCUAACGACAAUUGCCCUGACUGAUGCUUUCCUAAGAGAAACAACAGGGAGUGACUGGGCCGCUUCUUUUGCAGAGCUGUAUCAUGCUGGCAGCAGGUGGGAAGAAGGUUGUUUCCUGCACAGUGUGAUCAGAUUUGGUGCUGGAUGACUGAUGCCUAAUUGUUUUCAUUAAAAAAAGAAAAAAGUAAUUUUUCAGAGCAGUGUCAGCCAUCAGGAGGGCAGACUCUGCUCUUCAUUUUGUGCUCUGAGUGCCAAUUAAAACAUCAUCGGCU